rnacentral:rRNA from 1 species
CAGUCGCCGCGGUAAUACGGAGGGUGCAAGCGUUAAUCGGAAUUACUGGGCGUAAAGCGCACGCAGGCGGUCUGUCAAGUCAGAUGUGAAAUCCCCGGGCUUAACCUGGGAACUGCAUUUGAAACUGGCAGGCUAGAGUCUUGUAGAGGGGGGUAGAAUUCCAGGUGUAGCGGUGAAAUGCGUAGAGAUCUGGAGGAAUACCGGUGGCGAAGGCGGCCCCCUGGACAAAGACUGACGCUCAGGUGCAAAAGCGUGGGGAGCAAACAGGAUUAGAGACCCCAGUAGUCCCUGUCUCUUAUAA